rnacentral:rRNA from 1 species
GAUGAACGCUGGCGGCGUGCCUAAUACAUGCAAGUCGAGCGAACAGACGAGAAGCUUGCUCCUUUGACGUUAGCGGCGGACGGGUGAGUAACACGUGGGUAACCUACCUAUAAGACUGGGAUAACUUCGGGAAACCGGAGCUAAUACCGGAUAAUAUUUCGAACCGCAUGGUUCGAUAGUGAAAGAUGGCUUUGCUAUCACUUAUAGAUGGACCUGCGCCGUAUUAGCUAGUUGGUAAGGUAACGGCUUACCAAGGCAACGAUACGUAGCCGACCUGAGAGGGUGAUCGGCCACACUGGAACUGAGACACGGUCCAGACUCCUACGGGAGGCAGCAGUAGGGAAUCUUCCGCAAUGGGCGAAAGCCUGACGGAGCAACGCCGCGUGAGUGAUGAAGGUCUUCGGAUCGUAAAACUCUGUUAUUAGGGAAGAACAAACGUGUAAGUAACUGUGCACGUCUUGACGGUACCUAAUCAGAAAGCCACGGCUAACUACGUG